rnacentral:misc_RNA from 1 species
GAUGAAGAACGUAGCGAAAUGCGAUACGUAAUGUGAAUUGCAGAAUUCAGUGAAUCAUCGAAUCUUUGAACGCAUAUUGCGCUCUCUGGUAUUCCGGAGAGCAUGCUUGUUUGAGUAUCAGUAAACACCUCAACUCCCUUUUCUUUUUUGAAAUUUGAGCUGGACUUGAGUGAUCCCAACGCUUUCUUCCAAGAAAGUGGCGGGUUGCUUGAAAUGCAGGUGCAGCUGAACUUUUCUCUGAGCUAUAAGCAUAUCUAUUUAGUCUGCCUAAAAAACAGAUUAUUACCUUUGCUGCAGCUAACAUAAAGGAGACUAGUUCUUGUGCUGACUGAUGCAGGAUUCACAGAGACAGCUUCGGCUGACUUUGUAAACUCGAUCUCAAAUCAAGUAAGACUACCCGCUGAACUUAAGCAUAUCAAUAAGCGGAGGA